CUUUUCCUGACCCCCUUCUCUCCCCAACCUCUCCCCAGUCUACACAAGUCCCCACUUCUACCUGCACCUCAGCCACAGGACCAGCUGGAGGCAGUGUCAGGAGGAUGCUGUGAAGCAGGGCUGCUCCCCAGGUCUGGAGUAUCAGGACUGUGAGAAAGAAACUACAUCUCAGAAAAGGGACACUCCAAAUGAGACCCUGAACAUUGUCCUUGUGG